UAUUAACCCUAGAACAAAUUCAAGCACAACUAAUUCUAAGAUCAAAUUGGAUCUUAGUAGAACCAAUUUCGUUUAGGUUGUUUGUACAAUUUGAUCAACAUUAAUUCAAUCUUUUCAUGAACAGUAGUGACUCAAGUGAAAAGCGUAUGUGAUCAUAACCCCAUGGUUUUCAAAUAAACCAUUUGUAAGCCAACAAAAACCAUAUGCUUCUAGUUCAAACCAAUGCUCAUUCCACUUUCAGCCGAUUGGUUUAGUGCCAAGACAAAUGUCUCCCACUAAUUCAGUCAUUAAAUCCUCCUUGUCUUUCGACCAAUCCGUUGUCGUAAAACUCGGAUCAAAAAGAAUGUCUCACUCUCUCCGUAAGUCCUUCAUGCAAGAAAAUUAAAGAAGAACAAUAGAAUCAGUAUAUAAAGAUACCUUUGCUGUGAGCUUGAGGCAUAUGAGUAGGAUUUGUCUUGCAACACUAAAAGGGAUGAAAGAGCAUAACUCCAGAGCCAUGAUGAUGGCCGGAGCCAAGGCUUCUCCGGUGGAGUUGAGGUCGGAGUCCGGCAACAUCACAAAACAGAGAAGAUGGACUCAGGCAGGUGAUAGAGAGCCUCUAAAGAAAAUUGAUGGUUUGAUCAAUGAUCAGCAGCGACGAAAGCUUAGAGAAGCACAGAAGGCUGAGAAUGUCAUGCACCUCAUCUUCUGGGGUCCCAAGUAGCUCACAAGUAUACAUAUUACUGCUAAAAUCUAUGAAUUUUGCAUAUAGGCUUAAUUUACCGUUGUUUUUUCUCUUGCACCUUUGGUAAUUAUGCUUCUAUGUAAGAUGGAGAUUGGAAAUUGCUUAGAUCACUUGAAAAGAGUUUAGUUGUAGAUAAACUAGAAGAAUAGUUAAGGUAAAUAGUGGGGAAAGUGCUUGAUUUUCCCUAUGUUCAACUUACUGUUAUCUUCAUGGUGGAAAAUAUUAUCACUAGUUUUUCAAUUGUACUUUCUUGUGUCAAUAUGAAUUUUUGUGGUGUCCUUUAAUUUCUGUUAAUGAUUUUCUCUCUGUGGUAGUUUCAGACCUUUUGGUUUAAUCAAACCGUAAGCAUGAUCCUGAAAGAGGAUUUCAAGAAUUAUCUUAGGAUCUAUUUUCAUGAGCUGCAUAAUUUGAUUUAAGUACUCUUAGUGAUGAAAAUUUCAAUAUGAAAUUCUUCGACUUUUCAAAAUUUGUUUAAGUGUAGUAUUACACUAUUAUUCUCUUCUUCUCAGAAUCUUCCCCGCUGUCAGGAAUCCUGUGCCUAGCAACUGGGAGUGGGAAGAGAUAGGAGAGUUAAAAAAAAAAAAAAAAAAACUCUCUUCUUCUUGUUCAUAAAAAAAAAAUAUUUUUAAAGCAAGUAAUUCAGAAAAAGUGUACAGGAUAGUUAAGUCCAUCAUCGAAUUUCCCCAAAUAGUGCAGCGGGCUUCAUCUGUGAAUAAUCACAAAGAAUUGUCCAAAGAUAGACUUGGGCAAGUGUUAUAGAAUUUCAAUCUGGCCAAUGAUUCACUAUGGUUUUGCAAGAUUGGGCUUUAAUGUCUUAUCCAUGGGUAAGUAGCCCAAAACGGGACUUCACAUACUAUUGAACUAAAAGCGUGUACUUCAUGCAGUAGAACUUGUACGCUGUGAUAAACAUGUACAACUUUCCAAUAUUUUGAUUUAUUCUCACUUGUUUUCCAAUAAUUACAACCCUCCUUCAAGUUUUAAGAAAGAUUUUCCAUAUCCCUAUUUGUACUAUUGUAUAAGGUGUUCAUUUCGAUAUUCUUGAAGCUUUCCAAACAUACAAAUAAAUAGGACAAUUACUCUACAUUUUAGUUUGUUUCCUCAACAAGACAACUAGUAAGUCGGUUGCAACCCUACUAAUGUACUCUAGAAACCAGAAAAAAUAUGGGGAAAAAAAACCCAAAAAAGAAAAAAAGAAAUUGAAGAAACAAAAGACCUAGAGUGGCACAAUCUGACGUGCAGAGCUGCAUGGUCAACUGAUCAAUCCCAUGACAGAAAUGAGCUUACGGCAUAUGAGUAGAGUUUGCUUUCGAGCAAUUCAAGGACUGAAAGAGCAGAAUCGUAAAGGGCCAUCAAUUAAGCCUCCAAAUAGUUCAAGACAACUUUCUGAUGCUACUGACAACUCAAUUUACGUGACAAGAGCUUCUGCUUCUUCUGAGAUGGAGUCAGUGAAGAAGGGUCAUCAGAAAAAGAUGAGGGAAGCAGAGAAGGCUGAGAAUGUUAUGCACCUCAUUUGCUGGGGUCCUAAUUAGCCACAUAAAACUUCUAUUUAGGAUGGAUUUUGAGGAGCACAAAAUCUAACUCAGUGGUCUGUGAAGUAUGAAACCACCAUGUGAUUGAGGACUACUUUCAUGGACUCAGCAACUACACCUGAAUAUUGAAGAGGAGAGUUGGGCUAUGGUCCUCUUAUGUAUGCAGUUCAUAUUUAUGGAUGUUUUUACUUGGAAAAAGUCUCUGUUGAUCUGAAGAGAAAGUUGUAUAAGAUGAUUAACUUCAUCUUUAUGAUCUCUAGCUAUUUCAUGUUUCAUA